GCAUAUUGUCAAGAGCUCUCAAAGCUGCAGGAUCAAAUACCACCAUUUCCUACUCGUAAUGCAAUCAGGACCAUCGAGUCUGAACUGGGCUCUCGAAUGUCUGAUCUAUUUGCUGAUAUCAGUCCAGAGCCAAUUGCAGCAGCAUCACUGGGGCAAUUAUACAAAGUCAUGCAGCUCAUGUACACUCCGGAGAGCUUGUCGCAAUCAAAGUUCAGAGGCCUCGAAUGGCACCCUUGCUGACCCUCGAUGCACUUCUAUUCAAUAUGAUUGGAGGACAGCUAAAACGAUUUGCUAAGGCCCG